GCUGAUCAUCUUCGUUGGAUUUUUGGCCGCUUAGCAGGUAGGUUUAUUAGCAUCUCCAGGGACAGUUGAAAGCCUCGUUGAUCAUUUUCGUUGGAUUUUUGGCCGCUUUGCAGGUAGGUUUAUUAGCGUCUCCAGGGACAUUUGAAAGCAUUGCUGAUCAUCUUCGUUGGAUUUUGGCCGCUUAGCAGGUGAGUGUAUGUUGUGAACUUUUGCUGGUUUCUAUUUAGCUACUAAUUAGAUGAUUCUUUAUACUUUUCUCAUUUCCGUAGGGUUUAUUAGCAUCUCC
rnacentral:sRNA from 1 species